ACAGCAGAGGAAUCAUGAGCUGGUCUUUACUUCUUCUUCUGAUAUCCUUUGUGCCUUACGUACAUUGCAUCAGCCUGACCUCGUCUCUUGAUGAGGUUAAAUCUCCCGGAGCCUCCGUGAAGUUGUCCUGUCAGAUUUCUGGCUAUGCCCUCACUGACUCUGGAACAGCAUGGAUCAAGCAACCUUCAGGAAAAGGCUUGGAGCUGAUUGGGAUCAUAUGGGGUAGUGGAAAAAUAGACUAUGGCGCUUCCUUUAAAACUCGUUUCAGUAUCUCCAGAGACAAGAGUGUGCUUUACUUAGAUAUCAACAGCCUGGUGUCAGAGGACACAGCUGCUUACUACUGUGCAAGGGCAGCCACAGCUUUGCAACUCAGUGGGAGGGGUGUACAAAAACUUUUUUUUUUAAAUGCAAGGAUUAUUAGUAGAGUUAAACGUUAUAAUGCAACAAAAACCUCUCCACACCUUACUCUUAUGUGCCAUGUUUCAGUGUAAGUUGAAGUGAAGUAUGUUUAAUAGCUUCUUUACCACUCUUCUCAGUUGUGAACAGCAUCACCCUGAGUUUGUUGCC